rnacentral:rRNA from 1 species
GGGACACGUGGUAUCCUGUCUGAAUAUGGGGGGACCAUCCUCCAAGGCUAAAUACUCCUGACUGACCGAUAGUGAACCAGUACCGUGAGGGAAAGGCGAAAAGAACCCCGGCGAGGGGAGUGAAAAAGAACCUGAAACCGUGUACGUACAAGCAGUGGGAGCACCUUCGGGUGUGACUGCGUACCUUUUGUAUAAUGGGUCAGCGACUUAUAUUCUGUAGCAAGGUUAACCGUAUAGGGGAGCCGCAGGGAAACCGAGUCUUAACUGGGCGUUAAGUUGCAGGGUAUAGACCCGAAACCCGGUGAUCUAGCCAUGGGCAGGUUGAAGGUUGGGUAACACUAACUGGAGGACCGAACCGACUAAUGUUGAAAAAUUAGCGGAUGACUUGUGGCUGGGGGUGAAAGGCCAAUCAAACCGGGAGAUAGCUGGUUCUCCCCGAAAGCUAUUUAGGUAGCGCCUCGUGAACUCAUCUUCGGGGGUAGAGCACUGUUUCGGCUAGGGGGUCAUCCCGACUUACCAACCCGAUGCAAACUACGAAUACCGAAGAAUGUUAUCACGGGAGACACACGGCGGGUGCUAACGUCCGUCGUGAAGAGGGAAACAACCCAGACCGCCAGCUAAGGUCCCAAAGUCAUGGUUAAGUGGGAAACGAUGUGGGAAGGCACAGACAGCCAGGAUGUUGGCUUAGAAGCAGCCAUCAUUUAAAGAAAGCGUAAUAGCUCACUGGUCGAGUCGGCCUGCGCGGAAGAUGUAACGGGGCUAAACCAUGCACCGAAGCUGCGGCAGCGACACUAUGUGUUGUUGGGUAGGGGAGCGUUCUGUAAGCCUGCGAAGGUGUGCUGUGAG